UCUUCUUCUUUUCUUCUCCCUUCUCCUCUCAUCUAAGACAGACUUUGGCACUCACAUGGGAGCCCAUGGAGACUUUCAGAGCUAGAUCCAAGCCAUGAAGAAAAAAAGAGAUAUAUACAGUUUCAUCUGAGAAGACAAACAAAAACACGCAGGAUAUAAAUCAAAACAAGGAUUUGCAAAAGAAUAGAGUAAGCACUUACUAAGCCAAAAACAUACUGUUCUUGUGAAGAAGCCUGCUCU
rnacentral:lncRNA from 1 species